rnacentral:rRNA from 1 species
AACGACUCUCGGCAACGGAUAUCUCGGCUCACGCAUCGAUGAAGAACGUAGCAAAAUGCGAUACUUGGUGUGAAUUGCAGAAUCCCGUGAACCAUCGAGUUUUUGAACGCAAGUUGCGCCCGAAGCCAUUNGGCCGAGGGCACGUCUGCCUGGGCGUCACGC